CCUACGGGAGGCAGCAGUGAGGAAUAUUGGUCAAUGGACGAGAGUCUGAACCAGCCAAGUAGCGUGAAGGAUGACUGCCCUAUGGGUUGUACACUUCUUUUAUAUGGGAAUAAAACAGGGUAUGCAUACCCUCUUGUAUGUACCAUCUGAAUAAGGAUCGGCUAAAUCCGUGCCAGCAGCCGCGUUAAUACGGAGGAUCCGAGCGUUAUCCGGAUUUAUUGGGUUUAAAGGGAGCGUAGGUGGAUUGUUAAGUCAGUUGUGAAAGUUUGCGGCUCAACCGUAAAAUUGCAGUUGAAACUGGCAGUCUUGAGUACAGUAGAGGUGGGCGGAAUUCGUGGUGUAGCGGGGAAAUGCUUAGAUAUCACGAAGAACUCCGAUUGCGAAGGCAGCUCACUGGACUGCAACUGACACUGAUGCUCGAAAGUGUGGGUAUCAAACAGGAUUAGAUACCCUGGUAGUC
rnacentral:rRNA from 1 species